rnacentral:rRNA from 1 species
AGAAUCAACGCUGGCGGCGUGCCUAACACAUGCAAGUCGAACGAGAAAGGGACUUCGGUCCUGAGUACAGUGGCGCACGGGUGAGUAACACGUGACUAACCUACCCUGGAGUGGGGAAUAACUGAGGGAAACCUUAGCUAAUACCGCAUAAUACCUACGGGUCAAAGGAGCAAUUCGCUUCAGGAGGGGUCGCGGCCGAUUAGCUAGUUGGCGGGUAAUGGCCCACAAGGCAAUGAUCGGUA